CGGGUGUAGCUCAAUGGUAGAGUUCUGGCCUUCCAAGCCAGCUGUGAGGGUUCGAUCCCCUUCACCC
rnacentral:tRNA from 4 species